AACGGGAUAGUGUCUGGAAACGGACAGUAAUACCGUAUAACGUAUUUUUACCGCAUGAUAGAAAUACCAAAACUGAGGUGCCGAAGGAUGGGCUCGCGUCUGAUUAGAUAGUUGGUGGGGUAACGGCCUACCAAGUCGACGAUCAGUAGCCGGACUGAGAGGUUGAACGGCCACAUUGGGACUGAGACACGGCCCAGACUCCUACGGGAGGCAGCAGUGGGGAAUAUUGCACAAUGGGGGAAACCCUGAUGCAGCAACGCCGCGUGAAGGAAGACGGUUUUCGGAUUGUAAACUUCUGUUCUUAGUGAAGAAUAAUGACGGUAGCUAAGGAG
rnacentral:rRNA from 1 species